rnacentral:rRNA from 1 species
GAUGAACGCUGGCGGCGUGCCUAAUACAUGCAAGUCGAGCGAACAGACGGGGAGCUUGCUCCUCUGACGUUAGCGGCGGACGGGUGAGUAACACGUGGAUAACCUACCUAUAAGACUGGGAUAACUUCGGGAAACCGGAGCUAAUACCGGAUAAUAUAUUGAACCGCAUGGUUCAAUAGUGAAAGACGGUUUUGCUGUCACUUAUAGAUGGAUCCGCGCCGCAUUAGCUAGUUGGUAAGGUAACGGCUUACCAAGGCAACGAUGCGUAGCCGACCUGAGAGGGUGAUCGGCCACACUGGAACUGAGACACGGUCCAGACUCCGACGGGAGGCAGCAGUAGGGAAUCUUCCGCAAUGGGCGAAAGCCUGACGGAGCAACGCCGCGUGAGUGAUGAAGGUCUUCGGAUCGUAAAACUCUGUUAUUAGGGAAGAACAAAUGUGUAAGUAACUAUGCACGUCUUGACGGUACCUAAGCAGAAAGCCACGGCUAACUACGU